AAUGGGUCAGCGACUUAUAUUCUGUAGCAAGGUUAACCGAAUAGGGGAGCCGAAGGGAAACCGAGUCUUAACUGGGCGUUAAGUUGCAGGGUAUAGACCCGAAACCCGGUGAUCUAGCCAUGGGCAGGUUGAAGGUUGGGUAACACUAACUGGAGGACCGAACCGACUAAUGUUGAAAAAUUAGCGGAUGACUUGUGGCUGGGGGUGAAAGGCCAAUCAAACCGGGAGAUAGCUGGUUCUCCCCGAAAGCUAUUUAGGUAGCGCCUCGUGAAUUCAUCUCCGGGGGUAGAGCACUGUUUCGGCAAGGGGGUCAUCCCGACUUACCAACCCGAUGCAAACUGCGAAUACCGGAGAAUGUUAUCACGGGAGACACACGGCGGGUGCUAACGUCCGUCGUGAAGAGGGAAACAACCCAGACCGCCAGUUAAGGUCCCAAAGUCAUGGUUAAGUGGGAAACGAUGUGGGAAGGCCCAGACAGCCAGGAUGUUGGCUUAGAAGCAGCCAUCAUUUAAAGAAAGCGUAAUAGCUCACUGGUCGAGUCGGCCUGCGCGGAAGAUGUAACGGGGCUAAACCAUGCACCGAAGCUGCGGCAGCGACACUAUGUGUUGUUGGGUAGGGGAGCGUUCUGUAAGCCUGUGAAGGUGGCCUGUGAGGGUUGCUGGAGGUAUCAGAAGUGCGAAUGCUGACAUAAGUAACGAUAAAGCGGGUGAAAAGCCCGCUCGCCGGAAGACCAAGGGUUCCUGUCCAACGUUAAUCGGGGCAGGGUGAGUCGACCCCUAAGGCGAGGCCGAAAGGCGUAGUCGAUGGGAAACAGGUUAAUAUUCCUGUACUUGGUGUUACUGCGAAGGGGGGACGGAGAAGGCUAUGUUGGCCGGGCGACGGUUGUCCCGGUUUAAGCGUGUAGGCUGGUUUUCCAGGCAAAUCCGGAAAAUCAAGG
rnacentral:rRNA from 1 species